rnacentral:rRNA from 1 species
GCGGCGUGCCUAACACAUGCAAGUCGAACGGAGAAUUUUAUUUCGGUAGAAUUCUUAGUGGCGAACGGGUGAGUAACGCGUAGGCAACCUGCCCUUUAGACGGGGACAACAUUCCGAAAGGAGUGCUAAUACCGGAUGUGAUCAUUGUGCCGCAUGGCAGGGUGAAGAAAGAUGGCCUCUACAAGUAAGCUAUCGCUAAAGGAUGGGCCUGCGUCUGAUUAGCUAGUUGGUAGUGUAACGGACUACCAAGGCGAUGAUCAGUAGCCGGUCUGAGAGGAUGAACGGCCACAUUGGGACUGAGACACGGCCCAAACUCCUACGGGAGGCAGCAGUGGGGAAUCUUCCGCAAUGGACGAAAGUCUGACGGAGCAACGCCGCGUGAGUGAUGAAGGAUUUCGGUCUGUAAAGCUCUGUUGUUUAUGACGAACGUGCAGUGUGUGAACAAUGCAUUGCAAUGACGGUAGUAAACGAGGAAGCCACGGCUAACUACGUGCCAGCAGCCGCGGUAAUACGUAGGUGGCGAGCGUUGUCCGGAAUUAUUGGGCGUAAAGAGCAUGUAGGCGGCUUAAUAAGUCGAGCGUGAAAAUGCGGGGCUCAACCCGUAUGGCGCUGGAAACUGUUAGGCUUGAGUGCAGGAGAGGAAAGGGGAAUUCCCAGUGUAGCGGUGAAAUGCGUAGAUAUUGGGAGGAACACCAGUGGCGAAGGCGCCUUUCUGGACUGUGUCUGACGCUGAGAUGCGAAAGCCAGGGUAGCGAACGAGAUUAGAUACCCCGGUAGUCCUGGCCGUAAAC